AGCUCCAAAGGUAUAUGCUAAAGUUGUUGCAGUUAGAAAGCUCGUAGUCGAAAAAGGGGAAAAAGUAAUUAUAAUGAAAGAGAUCGGGAAGAUUUCUACAUUAUCACUUUUUCUCAUUAAUUUUAAAGGAUUUUUUUUAGAAAUUAGGAAACUUAAUUGAUUCCUUUUAUUUCUUCCUUUUAUUUUACUUUGAAAAAAUUAGAGUGUUUAAAGCAGACAUAAUACGUCUUGAAUACAUUAGCAUGGGAUAAUAAAAUAAGAAAUUAAUAUUAUUUUAUCGGUUUAUGAAAUAUUAAUUUAAUGAUUAAUAGGGAUAGUUGGGGGUAUUAAUACUUUUUAGUCAGAGGUGAAAUUCUUGGAUUUAAGAAAGAUUAACUUGGGCGAAAGCAUUUACCAAGGA
rnacentral:rRNA from 1 species